rnacentral:rRNA from 1 species
UACGUAGGCAGCAAGCGUUGUUCGGAGUUACUGGGCGUAAAGAGUGCGUAGGCGGUUUUUUAAGUUUGGUGUGAAAUUUCCCGGCUUAACUGGGAGGGUGCGCCGAAAACUGGAAGGCUCGAGGAUGGGAGAGGCAUGCGGAAUUCCUGGUGUAGCGGUGAAAUGCGUAGAUAUCAGGAGGAACACCUGCGGUGUGAGACAGCAUGGCUGGACCAUUUCUGACGCUGAGG